CCCGCUGAGUUUAAGCAUAU
rnacentral:snRNA from 1 species